rnacentral:rRNA from 1 species
GACGUAGGAAGCAAGCGUUGUCCGGAAUUACUGGGCGUAAAGAGCUCGUAGGCGGGACCGUAAGUCCGAGAGGAAAUCUCAAGGCUCAACUUUGGGGCUUUCUUGGAUACUGCGGUUCUUGAGGAUGUCAGAGGAUAGUAGAAUUCCCGGUGUAGCGGUGAAAUGCGUAGAUAUCGGGAGGAAUACCAGUGGCGAAGGCGACUGUCUGGGACAUUCCUGACGCUGAGGAGCGAAAGCGUGGGGAGCAAACGGG